UCAGGCCUAACACAUGCAAGUCGAACGAACCCUUCGGGGUUAGUGGCGCACGGGUGCGUAACGCGUGGGAAUCUGCCCUUUGCUUCGGAAUAACAGUUAGAAAUGACUGCUAAUACCGGAUGAUGUCUUCGGACCAAAGAUUUAUCGGCAAGGGAUGAGCCCGCGUAGGAUUAGGUAGUUGGUGGGGUAAAGGCCUACCAAGCCGACGAUCCUUAGCUGGUCUGAGAGGAUGAUCAGCCACACUGGGACUGAGACACGGCCCAGACUCCUACGGGAGGCAGCAGUGGGGAAUAUUGGACAAUGGGCGCAAGCCUGAUCCAGCAAUGCCGCGUGAGUGAAGAGAGGCCUUCGGGUCGUAAAGCUCUUUUACCAGGGAUGAUA
rnacentral:rRNA from 1 species